GCCGGCAAUACUUUGAAUGUGGCCGUAUACGGAUUAAAUCCCAUGUUAUUUUCAAUGACCUCGUAGCUUAGACACCGUUCAACUGGAUUUAUCAUGAUGAGCUUCUCUUUGGCCCAGUUGAUGAUGUUCCCACCUGUGCCGUCGGAGGAUGGUUUUGGCUUGGAAGCGCAGUAGCGGACGAGGCCCGGCUUGCCCGGCUCGCCCUCCACUUGGUAACACGUUUCAAUGCUUGGGAACCAUUUGUUAAUAUUUUA
rnacentral:misc_RNA from 1 species